UUGACCUCGGAUCAGGCAGGGAUACCCGCUGAACUUAAGCAUAUCAAUAAGCGGAGGAAAAGAAACCAACAGGGAUUGCCUCAGUAACGGCGAGUGAAGCGGCAACAGCUCAAAUUUGAAAUCUGGCUCUUUUAGGGUCCGAGUUGUAAUUUGUAGAGGAUGCUUCGGCGUCGGCUCCGGUCUAAGUUCCUUGGAACAGGACGUCAUAGAGGGUGAGAAUCCCGUAUGUGAUCGGUUGCCUUGCCAUGUGAAGCUCCUUCGACGAGUCGAGUUGUUGGGAUGCAGCUCUAAAUGGAGGUAAAUUUCUUCUAAGCUAAUACUGGCCA
rnacentral:rRNA from 1 species